rnacentral:misc_RNA from 1 species
GAUGAAGAACGCAGCGAAAUGCGAUAAGUAAUGUGAAUUGCAGAAUUCAGUGAAUCAUCGAAUCUUUGAACGCACAUUGCGCCCGCCAGUAUUCUGGCGGGCAUGCCUGUCCGAGCGUCAUUUCAACCCUCGGGCCCCCCUCUGCGGGCGGCCCGGCGUUGGGGCUCAGGCGCCGUCUCUGCUCGGCGCCUGUCCCCUAAAUGCAGUGGCGGCCUCGCCGCUGCCUCCUCCGCGUAGUAGCACAAACCUCGCGGCUGGAAGGCGGCGCGGCAACGCCGUAAAACCCCCCAACUUUACCAAGGUUGACCUCGGAUCAGGUAGGAAUACCCGCUGAACUUAAGCAUAUCAAUAAGCGGAGGA